GUCCCGAUGGUAAAGCGGUAAUACAUCAGUUUCAUGUUUUCGAGUUCUGGUGUUGAUGUUGCACGUUCGACUCGCGCUCGGGAGU